rnacentral:rRNA from 1 species
AGAACGAACGCUGGCGGCAGGCUUAACACAUGCAAGUCGAACGCAUCCUUCGGGAUGAGUGGCAGACGGGUGAGUAACGCGUGGGAACGUACCUUUCGGUUCGGAAUAACCCAGGGAAACUUGGGCUAAUACCGGAUACGCCGGAAACGGGAAAGAUUCAUUGCCGAAAGAUCGGCCCGCGUCGGAUUAGCUAGUUGGUGGGGUAACGGCCUACCAAGGCGACGAUCCGUAGCUGGUCUGAGAGGAUGACCAGCCACACUGGGACUGAGACACGGCCCAGACUCCUACGGGAGGCAGCAGUGGGGAAUAUUGGACAAUGGGCGCAAGCCUGAUCCAGCCAUGCCGCGUGAGUGAAGAAGGCCUUAGGGUUGUAAAGCUCUUUCAGCGGGACGAUAAUGACGGUACCCGCAGAAGAAGCCCCGGCUAACUUCGCGCCAGCAGCCGC